rnacentral:rRNA from 1 species
AACGAACGCUGGCGGCAUGCCUAACACAUGCAAGUCGAACGAGGCCUUCGGGUCUAGUGGCGCACGGGUGCGUAACGCGUGGGAACCUGCCCUUAGGUUCGGAAUAACUCCCCGAAAGGGGUGCUAAUACCGGAUAAUGUCUUCGGACCAAAGAUUUAUCGCCUUUGGAUGGGCCCGCGUUGGAUUAGCUAGUUGGUAGGGUAAAAGCCUACCAAGGCGACGAUCCAUAGCUGGUCUGAGAGGAUGAUCAGCCACACUGGGACUGAGACACGGCCCAGACUCCUACGGGAGGCAGCAGUGGGGAAUAUUGGACAAUGGGCGAAAGCCUGAUCCAGCAAUGCCGCGUGAGUGAUGAAGGCCUUAGGGUUGUAAAGCUCUUUUACCCGGGAUGAUAAUGACAGUACCGGGGGAAUAAGCUCCGGCUAACUCCGUG